GGCUCGGUGAUCUAGGGGUAUGAUUCUCGCUUCGGGGGAGAGGUCCCGGGUUCAAUUCCCGUUCGAGCUCA